AGCGAACGCUGGCGGCAGGCUUAACACAUGCAAGUCGAGCGGGCAUAGCAAUAUGUCAGCGGCAGACGGGUGAGUAACGCGUGGGAACGUACCUUUUGGUUCGGAACAACACAGGGAAACUUGUGCUAAUACCGGAUAAGCCCUUACGGGGAAAGAUUUAUCGCCGAAAGAUCGGCCCGCGUCUGAUUAGCUAGUUGGUGAGGUAAUGGCUCACCAAGGCGACGAUCAGUAGCUGGUCUGAGAGGAUGAUCAGCCACAUUGGGACUGAGACACGGCCCAAACUCCUACGGGAGGCAGCAGUGGGGAAUAUUGGACAAUGGGCGCAAGCCUGAUCCAGCCAUGCCGCGUGAGCGAUGAAGGCCCUAGGGUUGUAAAGCUCUUUUGUGCGGGAAGAUAAUGACGGUACCGCAAGAAUAAGCCCCGGCUAACUUCGUGCCAGCCGCCGCAGUAAUAC
rnacentral:rRNA from 1 species